rnacentral:rRNA from 1 species
AACGAACGCUGGCGGCAGGCUUAACACAUGCAAGUCGAACGGGUGUAGCAAUACAUCAGUGGCAGACGGGUGAGUAACACGUGGGAACCUUCCUAGGGGUACGGAACAACUCAGGGAAACUUGAGCUAAUACCGUAUACGUCCGUGAGGAGAAAGAUUUAUCGCCCUUAGACGGGCCCGCGUCGGAGUAGCUAGUUGGUGGGGUAACGGCCUACCAAGGCGACGAUCCGUAGCUGAUCUUAGAGGAUGAUCAGCCACACUGGGACCGAGACACGGCCCAGACUCCUACGGGAGGCAGCAGUGGGGAAUCUUGGACAAUGGGCGCAAGCCUGAUCCAGCCAUGCCGCGUGAGUGAAGAAGGUCUUCGGAUUGUAAAGCUCUUUUGCCAGGGACGAUAAUGACGGUACCUGGAGAAUAAGCCCCGGCAAACUUCGUGCCAGCCGCCGCAGUAA